GACAGAGGUGCCAAGCGUUAGGCGGAAUCACUGGGCUUAAAGCGUGUGUAGGCGGAAGGGUAAGUACCUUGUGAAAUCCCACAGCUCAACUGUGGAACUGCUUGGUAUACUGCUUUUCUUGAGCCACUUAGGGGCUACCGGAACAAAUGGUGGAGCGGUGAAAUGCGUAGAUAUCAUUUGGAACGCCAAUGGUGAAAACAGGUAGCUGGGAGUGUGCUGACGCUGAGGAGCGAAAGUGUGGGGAGCGAACAGG
rnacentral:rRNA from 1 species